rnacentral:rRNA from 1 species
GAUGAACGCUAGCUACAGGCUUAACACAUGCAAGUCGAGGGGAAACGACAUCGAAAGCUUGCUUUUGAUGGGCGUCGACCGGCGCACGGGUGAGUAACGCGUAUCCAACCUGCCCAUCACUUGGGAAUAACCUUGCGAAAGUAAGACUAAUACCCAAUGACAUCCCACGAAGACAUCUGAAUGGGAUUAAAGAUUUAUCGGUGAUGGAUGGGGAUGCGUCUGAUUAGCUUGUUGGCGGGGUAACGGCCCACCAAGGCAACGAUCAGUAGGGGUUCUGAGAGGAAGGUCCCCCACAUUGGAACUGAGACACGGUCCAAACUCCUACGGGAGGCAGCAGUGAGGAAUAUUGGUCAAUGGGCGAGAGCCUGAACCAGCCAAGUAGCGUGCAGGAUGACGGCCCUAUGGGUUGCAAACUGCUUUUAUAAGGGAAUAAAGUGGGUCUCGUGAGACUUUUUGCAUGUACCUUAUGAAUAAGGACCGGCUAAUUCCGUG